rnacentral:lncRNA from 10 species
CACAACCAACUAAUUUUUUUGUAUUUUUAGUAGAGAUGGGAUUUCAGUAUGUUGGCCAGGCUGGUCUCAAACUCCUAACCUUGUGAUCCACCCACCUCAGCCUCCCAAAGUGCUGGGAUUACAGGCGUGAACCACCACGCCCGGCCUACAUCCACUAACUUCUAAAGGUGAGAGAAACACACUGCCCUUGGAAUAUCGAAGACAGAAAAGCAUUGUGACUUAAUGUAUUAAUAUCAUCUCUGUUUCCUUGGAGCUUAUCUGUUCCUAUGUGUAUGGGACUGAUCUCAGGAUGAAAGGUGACAUCAAAGUAUCAAAUAUUAUUGAUAAUUAUAAAGGUUCAUGUAAUCCUCUGUGACAUGUUGCUCAGCAGAAAAUUGGUUUUAAUGCCACAAAAUUAGGUUCAAUCUACCCAUAAGCACGUGAAGUGAGCAAUUUUCUGGCAUUUCUUGAUGUAAGUGUAUUUUCAUAAGUUAACAGAUGAGUCAGGAUGAGAAUGACAGUUUUAUUCCAUGCAGCAUUUUGUCUGUUUCUCUCAUUGCCUUCCUUGGCCCUCCAUUUUGUAAAAUUCUACUGCUUAAAAAGCAUUCAGAUUUUUUUAACUCAUUCUAGUCCAUGAAAGUUCAACAUUUGACAUCAGACAGCUUGACAGAUUUACCGCGGUAGUUACAAAAAAAAAAAACUAUUCACCAGUCUCUAAGUGUGCCAUGACAUUUUUGACUGCUAUACCUUUGCCCAUUCAUUUCCAUCUGCCUAAUGCGUGCUUCAUCCUGAUAUUUCAAGGUUCGGCUCAGCUCAAACAGGACACUACGAUAAUAUGGACCUCUUUGGUCAGAAUUCAUAGUUCCCUGUAGUAUACUCCACGGCCUCACUGAAGCCUCCGCCAUGUCUAUUGUAACAUUGCAUUGUAGUUAGUUGCUAUAUCUGUCUCCUCAUCUGGAAUGUGUGCUCCUUGAAGGCAGGAAGCUGUCCUAGUCUUUUUUUUCAUCCCCAGCAUUUAGACUGAUAACCAACACACAGUCACCCCCAAUAAAUGCCAUCCUCCACUGCAGCCAGUUAUGGUCAUGUGGCCAGAUCUGAUGAAUCAGAUGUGGCAGAAAGGAUGCGAAGAAGCUCUGAGCAGGUGCCCUCCCUCUACAUGUUCCCACCAUCCUGCGUCCUUGUGCUGCGCCGGACCAGGCAUGCAAGAACAACACACCAAGGAUGGCGGAGCAACAAGAUAGAAGAGGCCUGAGUCCCAGGAUGACUGCCUGGAGCACAGCUGUCUGCCUGCUCAGGGCCUUGUGUCACAUACUAUAAUGUGAGAGACAAAUAAACUUGUCAUAUUUAAGCCAGUAUUAUAUUGGGU